AACGCACGAGACCUGCGGACCUGCGGAGGGAUCAUUACCACACCUAAAAACACCCUUCCACGUGAACCGUUUUGUUUUGCUUUCGAGUGCUUUGUUGCGCUCGGAGCAUGUUUGGGCUUCGCUGCUGGCGCUUGAUUGUGCUGGCGGCUCGAGGCCAUCAAGUGGCGUUUUGAGUGUGCUUGCGCAAUUGAGACGUCCAAACCUUUUAAACCCAUUUGAUCGAAAACUGAAGUAUACUGU
rnacentral:misc_RNA from 1 species